AGCUCCAUGAUUUCAGCCAGUUACUUUUUUUGGGAAUAUAUGCUAUUCUGAGAAAGCUGAAGGGCUGACAUUGGAAUAUAUGAGAGCU